rnacentral:rRNA from 1 species
GCCGCAUGGCACUGACGGAAAAGAUUUAUCGGUGUGAGAUGGACCCGCGUCUGAUUAGCCAGUUGGCAGGGUAACGGCCUACCAAAGCGACGAUCAGUAGCCGGCCUGAGAGGGUGAACGGCCACAUUGGGACUGAGACACGGCCCAGACUCCUGCGGGAGGCAGCAGNGGGGAAUAUUGCACAAUGGGGGAAACCCUGAUGCAGCGACGCCGCGUGAGUGAAGAAGUAUUUCGGUAUGUAAAGCUCUAUCAGCAGGGAAGAAAAUGACGGUACCUGAUUAAGAAGCCCCGGCUAACUACGUGCCAGCAGCCGCGGUAAUACGUAGGGGGCAAGCGUUAUCCGGAUUUACUGGGUGUAAAGGGAGCGUAGACGGUGAUGCAAGUCAGAAGUGAAAGCCCGGGGCUCAACUCCGGGACUGCUUUUGAAACUGUGUAACUGGAGUGCAGGAGAGGUAAGCGGAAUUCCUGGUGUAGCGGUGAAAUGCGUAGAUAUCAGGAGGAACACCAGUGGCGAAGGCGGCUUACUGGACUGUAACUGACGUUGAGGCUCGAAAGCGUGGAGAGCAAACAGGAUUAGAUACCCUGGUAGUCCACGCCGUAAACGAUGAAUAUUAGGUGUCGGUGAGCAAAGCUCAUCGGUG